CCUCCCCACUCCCUCUCCUCCCUCCGCGCUCCAGGUCUGGGCUGCCCGUUUUCGCACUCGCCAUUGGCCCUUGCCCCCGUCGCUCAGCCCUGUGCCCCUCCCAGCCCCGCACUGGGUUGGCCCUAAAUACUGCCGCUCGGAACUAGCCCCGCACAGUCCUCUUAUGCUCAUUGGGCAAGGGGCCGAGGCCCUCUGAAGAUACCUCUCCCCAUUGGCUGUGCCGGGGUCCGUCUGCCCCAUCUACAAGUCUCGUAAACGAUUGGCCUCCGCCACUGUCGCUUAGAAACAAGCCAGCCUGCUUCCCAGCUUGCCUACUGGAAGGGGGAGCACCCAGGUGCGUCUCCGCCCCUCGCUCCCUACUGGCCGCUCGAAGCUUGAAGCUGCAGUUCGCUUUCGCGAAUGUAAGGAACCCAGCUUCUGUGUGGUGGGCACUGAGAGCAGAACCGCAUUGAGUCGGAGUGGAGCACGGAAGUGUUCUACUGACCCAAGGAAAGGACUGUUUGAAGAUGAAGAAGUUGUACGUCAGUACACGGGUGGGGAGGAUCCUCUAGACAGGAAAAACCGAAGUCGUAGCAGAGCGAUAAGGAAAGUUUCUGGAGUCAUGUUCUUCAGAAGGAAAUGUACACUAAAGUAUUCAGGGAUAAUGAGCAAUUAAGUUAGCAACUUACCCUCAGAUGAUUCAGGGGGAAGAAAAGUCUUUUGGACUAUACUUGCAACUUUUAUGUAAGUUUGACAUCACUUCAAAAGAAAAAAAGGCAAAGCACAGUGCAAUGCGCUUGUAAUCUCAGCACUCGAGAGGCUGAAGUGGGAGGAUUUCUUGAUCCCAGGAGUUGGAGGCUGUAGUGAACCAUGAUUGCAUCACUGCACUCCAGCCUGGGCAACAGAGCAAGACCCCAACUCUCAAAAAAGAGUUAGUGGCUAAUAGUACUAUGAAAUUGAUGAGACAUUAGUCCUCAGUUUCAGGAAUCCCAACAAAUCCCAAGCACGACAUAUGAAAAUAAAUCUAUACCCAGACACAUUUUACUGAAAGUGUAGAACAUCAGAAACAAAGAUAUUAUAAUCAUCUGUCAGCUCAGGAAAAAAAAAAAACUAACAAAGAAAUAGCAAUUAGAGGCUGGGCAUGGUGGCAUGAGCCUAUAGUCCCAGCUACUUGGGAGGCUGAGGCAAGAGAAUCACUUGAACUCGGGAGGUGGAGGUUGCAUUGAGCCAAGAUGGUGCCACUGCACUCCAGCCUGGGUGACAGAGCAAGACUCCGUCUCAAAAAAAUAAAAAGUAAAAAUAGCAAUUGGAUUGAUAUCUGACUUCUGUACAGCAACAGUGAAAGCCCAACAGUAGAAUUAUAUCAUCAAUGUGCUGGGAGAAUAUAUUCACCAAUUCAGAAUUCUAUAUCUAAUAUAUUUAUGUAUGAAGAUGAAACAAGGACAUUUUACACAAACAAAAGCUGAGAAAGUUUACUACCAACGUAUCUUCACUAAAAGAACUAUAGGAUUUAGGCCAGGUGUGGUGGCUCACGCCUGUAAUCUCAGCACUUUGGGGAGGCUGAGGCAGGUGGAUCAAUUGAGGCCAGGAGUUCGAGACUAGCCUGGCCAACAUAGUGAAACCCAUCUCUACUAAAAAUACAAAAAAAUUAGCUGGGUGUGGUGGUGCACACCUGUAGUUCCAGCUACUCAGGAGACUGAGGCAAGAGAAUCACUUGAACCCAGAAGGCAGAGGUUGCAGGCUGCAAUGAGCCAAGAUUGUGCCACUGAGCUCCAGCUUGGGUGACAAACAAAGACUCUGUCUCAAAAAAAAAAAAAAAAAAAAGAGCUAUAAGAUUUACUUCCAGAAAAACAAAAAUUAUCCCAGAAUGAAGGUUUGUGAAGCAUUAAUUGGUGAGAAAAAGAUAAGCAAAUUUGUGGGUAAAGCUAAAUCAACAUUGCUUAUAUGAGACACUAGUGAUAACAUCUGGCCAGGCAUGGUGGCUCAUGCCUGUAAUCCCAACAGUUUGGGAGGCCGAGUUGGGCAGAUUACUUGAGGUCAGGAGUUCGAGACCAGCCUGGCCAACAUAUUGAAACCCCAUCUCUACUAAAAAAUACAAAAAUUAGCUGGGCGGGGUGGGCUAGAAUAACAUUCUCAAAGAAAACUGGAGGCUUGGCCGGGUGCGGUGGCUCAUGCCUGUAAUCCCAGCACUUUGGGAGGCCAAGGCAGGCAGAUCUGCUGAGGUCAGGAGUUCGAGACCAGCCUGGCUACCAUGGUGAAACUCUGUCUCUACUAAAAACACAAAAUUAGCCGGGUGGGGUGGCAGGCACCUGUAAUCCCAGCUACUCAGGAGGCUGAGGCAGGAGAAUCACUUGAACCCGGGAGGCAGAGGCUGCAGUGAGCCGGGAUUGCACCACUGCAUUCCAGCCUGGGUGACAGUGAGACUCCAUCUCAAAAAAAAGAAAAAAGAAAAAGAACUAGAGGGGUUAAAAGAAUAGAAAAAACAUAUAUACGCCAGGGAAACACUAACCACAAAACAGAGUUGGUGUAGCUAUAUCAAUAUUAGAGUAAAUAAAAUUUAAGACUAAAAGUAUUAACUAGUCAUAAAGAGUUACUACAUUGUUAUGUUUCAAUUCACUAGGAACAUACAGUAAUUAUAAACCUGUAUGUUCUUAAUAAUUCAGCUUCCAACUUUUUUUUUUUGAGACGGAGUCUCACUCUGUCACCAGGCUGGAGUGCAGUGGCGCCAUCUUGGCUCACUGCAACCUCCACCUCUUCGGUUCAAGUGAUUCUUCUGCCUCAGCCUCCUGGGUAGCCCGGACUACAGGCAUGCGCCACCACACCCAGCUAAUUUUUGUAUUUUUAGUAGAGAUGGGGUUUCACCAUGUUGGCCAGGAUGGUCUUGAUCUCUUGACCUCGUGAUCUGCCUGCCUCGGCCUCCCAAAGUGCUGGGAUUACAGUCGUGAGCCACCGCACCCGGCCCCCACAAACUUUUUUUAUUUUUUUGAGACAGGGUCUCUCUCACUGUGUUGCCCAGGCUGGAGUGCACUGGCAUCAUCAUGGCCCACUGCCGCCUCAAAUUCCUUGGCUUAAGCAGUCCCUCCCACCUUGGCCUCCUGAGUAACUAGGACUAGUGGUGCAUGCCACAAUGCCCAACUAAUUAUUAUUAUUAUUGUUGUUAUUUUUUGUCUCUGUAGAGACAGGGAGACAAGGAGAGCACCAGAAAGUUAAAAUUAAAAUUAAAAAAGGUCAAGCAGCUGGCAUAUGCUCUCUUUAAUUCUUUCAAUCUUUUUCUCCUCUCCCUUUCCUAUUUCCUGUCUAGACCACAGGCCUGCCUGAUGGUUGAAGGAUCUUGUGAUCUUAUGAUUUUUCAGGCAAAUUGAGAAAGCCAAAGCCUUUUUUUUUUUUUUUUUUUUUUGAUGCAGGUUCUCCCUGUGUCACCCAGGCUGGAAUGCUGCGGCACGUUCGCGGCUCAGUGCAGCCUCAACCUCCCAGGCUCAAGGGAUCCUCCCAGAUCCUCCCACCUCAGCCUUGCAAGUAGCUAGGACUACAGGCAUGAGCCACUGUGCCCGGCCAAACACAGGCCUUUAAGGAUGACAGAGCAGGGGGAAAAACACAGGUCUUUAAGGAUGCAGAGCAGCCUGGGAACCUGAUGAAUUCCUGGGGACACUAGAUGAGCCCUGGGCUGCCUGCAUCCAGAUUUCAUUACCUUGAGAGAAAAAUUAACUUCCAUCUUGUUUAAGUCUCUGUUACUUCUAGUCUGUGUUACAAACAUAAAUGCAAUUCCAAAUCGAUUCAUAAUUAUUACUGCAAGUAAGUAGUCAAGUAAGAGUAUCCAAGACCAGCUUGGCCAGCAUGGCAACACCCUGUCUCUACUAAAAAAUACAAAAAUUAGCCAGGCGUGGUGGCAGCACCUGUAAUGUGGCUACUUGGGAGGCUGAGGCAGGGAGAAUUGCUUGAACCUGGGAGUCAGAGGUUGCAGUGAGCCGAGAUUGAACUACUGCAUUCCAGCCUGGGCAUCAAAGGAGACUCUGUCUCAAAAUAAAUAAUUAAUUAAAAAUAAAUAAAUUAGCUGGUUCAUGGAAUGAAUGAAUAAAUAAAUAAGCCGGGCAUGGUGGUGCAUGCCUGUGGGUCUCAGCUGCUUGAGAGGCUGAGGUGGGAGGAUUGCUUAAGCCCGGGAGGUCAAGGUUGUGGUAAGCUGUGAUCAUGCCACUGCACUCCAGCCCUGGGGACAGAGUGAGACCCUAUCUCAAAAAAUAAAACAAAAUAGGGGUCGGGUGCGUGGCUCAUGACUGUAAUCUGUAAUCCCAGCACUUGGGAGGCCGAAGUGGGCGGAUUGCUUGAGCUCAGGAGUUAGAGACCAGCUCGGGCAACAUGGCGAAACCCUGUCUCUACUAAAAAUACAAAAAUUAGCCGGGCAUGGUGUCACAUGCCACUCAGGUGGCUGAGGCAGGAGGAUCAUUUGAAGCCAGGAGGUGGAGGCUGUAGUAAGAUGAGAUUUCGCUACUGUCUUCCAGCCUGGGCAACAAAGUGAGACCCUGUCUCAAAAACAAAAACAAACAUAAAUAAAAUCUGGCAUUGGCUUAGGAGAAGUGGGUUAGGCAGUUAUUAGGAAGGAUACACCCAGUACAGGCUGGAAAGCUGGUAACCCUUAGUACCUGCGAAGCACUUAGUCAGAUAGUUCCCUAUUUUGCCUUAGAAAGCAGUUAAGGCUGUAUGUAGUGGCUCAUGCCUAUAAUCCCAGAACUCUGGGAGGCCAAGGCAGGUGGAUUGCUUGAACCCAGGGGUUUGAGACCAGCCUAGGCAACAUAGCAAACCCCAUCUCAACAAAAAAUACAAAAAUUAGCUGGGUGUGGUGGCGCCCAUCUGUGGUCCCAGCUAUUCAGGAGGCUGAAGUAGGAAGAUCACCUGAGCGCACAAGGCAGAAGUUGCAGUGAGCCAGGAUCACACUGCUGCACUCCAGCCUGGGUGACAGAAUGAGACCGUCUCAAAAAAAAAAAAAAAAAAAAAAAAAAAGGAAGGCUGGGCGCGGUGGCUCACACCUGUAAUCCCAGCACUUUGGGAGGCCGAGGCUGGCGGAUCAUGAGGUCAGGAGAUCGAGACCAUCCUGGCUAACAUGGUGAAACCCUGUCUCUACUAAAAAUAUAUUUUAAAAAAAUUAGCUGGGCAUGGUGGUGGGCGCCUGUAGUCCCAGCUACUCGGGAGGCUGAGGCAGGAGAAUGGCAUGAACCCGGGAGGCGGAGCUUGCAGUGAGCCAAGAUCGCACCACUGCACUCCAGCCUGGGCGACAGAGCAAGACUCCGUCUCAAAAAAAAAAAAAAAAAAAGAA